GCCUUUGUGGUAUAAUGGUCAGCACACUCGGCAUGUAUUCGAGAGGUCCGAGGUUCGAGUCCCGGCGAGGGCA
rnacentral:tRNA from 1 species